CAGCAUGUGGGGGUUCCCAGGCUAGGGGUUGAAUCAGAGCUGUAGCUGCUGGCCUACGCCACAGCCACAGUAACGUGGGAUCCAAGCAGUGUCUGCAACCUAUACCACAGCUCAUGGCAAUGCUGGAUCUUUAACCCACUGAGCAAGGCCAGGGAUCGAACCUGCAACCUCAUGGUUCCUAGUCAGAUUCAUUAACCACUGAGCCACAACGGGAACUCCCCAAGAUUAUCAUUUAAAAUAGAAAGAGAAAUAAUUUCUCAGACAAACAAAAAGAAUACAGCAGUACUAAACUCAUUCCAAAAGAAAUACUGAAAGGUUUCCUCUAAAUAGGAAAGAAGACAGGAUGGCAGAAAUCACAAUUGGAAAGUAAUCACUUAAACAAGCCAAUAUACAGAUUAAAAAAAAAAACUAUUUGUGAAAGUGAUGAUAAAGAGAAGGAAUAGCAAAAGUAUAAGCAUGAAGAUUAAAAAAAGACAUCAAAAUCAUAAAAUAUGAGGAAGCAGAGUAAGAAAAUCUAGACUCUUAUUUUUUUAAUGUGUUUGAGCAUAUAUGACUAUGAGUUUAAAGCAAGUAGAUAUAGGAACGGCUUAACAUACUUGAAAACAGGGCAACCACAAAUCGAAAACAAAUAAUAUAUUCACAAACACCAAAAAGAAGAGGAUACAAGCAUAAAACAAAAGCAAAUCAUCCAACCCCCCCCUCCACUCAAAAAGAAAGGAACAAAAGAGAAACUUAAAACCAACUGGAAAACAAGGUUUUAAAUGGUAAUGAAUACAUAUAUGUCAAUGGACUGAAUGUUCCAAUAAAAAACAGAGUGGCAGACUGGAUAAAAAGACAAAAGCCUACAAUAUGUUACCUAUAAGAGGCCCACCUUAGGGCAAAGGACACAUAUAAAUUGAAAAGAGGGGAUGGAAAAAGUUAUUUCAUGAGAAUGGAAAGGAUAGGAAAGUGAGUGUCACAAUACUCAUAUAGACAAAAUAGACUUUAAAACAAAGGUCAUAAAGAAAGAUAAAGGACACUAUUUAAUGACAAAAGGACUAAGAAGAGGCUAUUACACUCACCAGUAUAUAUGUCCCUAAUGUCAGUGCACUCACACACAUACAACAAAUAUUAACAGACAGAAACGGAGCAAUUAAUGGGAAUACAAUAAAAGUAGGAGAUUUUACACCCCACUCACAUCAAUGAACAGACCUAAACAGAAAAUCAAUAAGUCUUGACUUAACAGAGAUCCUAAGUGACACAACAGAAAAGUUAGAUUUAACUGAUGUUUUCAAGACAUUACAUGCAAAAAAACAAAAAACCCCACAAGACCCAGAAUAUACAUUAUUUUCAAGUGCACAUGGAACAUUCUCUAGGAUUGACCACAUACUGGGGCCCCAAACUAACAAAUUUAAGAGUAUAGAAAUUAUUUCAAUAAAUAAUACCACAUAAUACCACAAUGUGGUAAUUUCAAAAUACCACAAAGUCAUGAACCUAGAAAUCAACAAACAAGAAAAGAAAUGAGAAAAAACUGACUACAUGAAGACUAAAUAACAUGCUACUAAAAACCAGUGGGUCAAUGAGGAAAUCAAAAAGGAAAUUAAAAAAAUACCUUUAGACAAAUGACAAUAAAAACACAACCAUACAAAAUCCAUGGCAUGCCUCAAAAGUAGUUCUUAAAGGGAGGUUCAUAGUGAUACAGCCAGUUCUAAAAAAAAAAAAAAAAAAAAAUCUCUUAUUAACAAUCUAACCAACCACCUGAAAGAAUUAGACAAAGAAGAACAAACAAAACCCAAAGUUAGCAGAAGGCAGGAAAUCAUAAAGAUCAGAGAGAAAAUCAAUAAAAUAGGGGUAUAAGGGAGUUCCUAUUGUGGCUCAGUGGAAAGAAGCUCAACUAGUAUCCAUGAGGAUGUGGGUUUGAUUCCUGGCCUUGCUCAGUGGGUUAAGGAUCCAGCAAUACCGGGAGCUACGGCAUAGGUCACAGACGCAGCUCGGAUCUGGCAUUGCUGUGCCUAUGGCAUAGGCCAGCAGUGUAGCUCUAAUCUGACCUCUAGCCUAGGAACUUACAUGUGCCACAGGUACAGUACUAAAAAAAUAAAAUAAUAAAAUAAAAUAAAAUAAAAAUAGAGAUUUGAAAUGGUAAACAAAAUGGCAAACCUCCAGCCAGAUUCAUCAAGAAGAGAAAACCCAAGUAAACAAAAUAAGAAACGAAAAAGGAGAAAUCUCAACAGACACUGCAGAAAUACAAAAAACCAUAAGAGAGUACUAUAAACAAUUAUAUGCCGACAAAUUUGACAAACUAGAAUAAGUAGACAACUUUCUAGAGACAUGCAGCCCACCAAAACUGAAUUAAGAAGAAAGAGAUCAAUUGAACAGACUGAUCACUAGAAAUGAAACUGAAUAUGUUAAAAAAAAAAAAAAAACUUCCUACAAACAAAGGUACAGGACCAGGUGGCUUCAUGGGCGAAUUCUAUAAACCAUACAAAGAACUUAUUCUGACUCUUCUUAAAAUCUUCCAAAAUAUUGAAGAAAAAGGAACACUCCCAAAGACAUUCUAUGAAGCUACCAUCACCCUAAUACCAAAAGCAAAGAUAAUACCAAAAAAGAAAAUUAUAGCCCAACAUCUUUGAAGAAUAUAGGCACAAAAAUUCUCAACAAAAUUUAGCAAACUGAAUCCAACCACACAUAAAAAAGAUCAUACACCACAACCAAGUGGGAUUCAUCCCAAGUUCACAAGGAUGGUUCAAUACAUGCAAACCAAUCAGUGUAAUACCCUACUUUAACAAAAGUCAAAAACCACACAAUCCAUCUCAAUGGAUGCAGAAAAAGCAUUUGACAAAAUUCAACAUCCAUUUAUGAUAAAAACUCUUACCACGCUGGGUAUAGAGGAAACAGAUCUCAACAUAAUAAACAUCAUUUAUGACAAACCCACAGUCAAUAUAAUACUCAACUGAGAAAAGCUGAAAGCCUUCCUGCUAAAACCUCGAACAAGACAAAGUUGCCCACUCUCACCACAACAUAGUAUUGGAAGUCCGAGCGACAGCAAUCAGACAAACAAAAGAUAUAAAAAAUAUCCAAAUUGGAAGAGAAGAGGUAUUAUUGUCACUAUAUGCAGAUGACAUGAGACUACAGAAAACUCUCUAAGAACUCCACACAAAAACUACUCCAUCUGAUCAAUAAAUUCAGCAAAGUGGCAGGAUACGAGAGUAUAACAUUCAGAAAUCAGUUGCAUUUCUGCAUACUAACAAUGAAAUAUUAGAAAAGGAGUAUUUAAAAAACCUUUUAAAAUUGUAUCCCCCCCCAAAUUAAAUACCUAGGAAUAAACAUAAUCAGGUGGGUGAAAGACAUAUUCUGAGAACUAUAAGAAUAUGGAAAUUAAAGAGGAUUCAAAGAAAUGGAAAGAUAGCUCAUGCUCCUGUAUUGGAAGAAUUAAUAUUGUUCAAAUGACCAUACUACCCAAAGCAAUUUACAGAUUUAAUGUGAUCCCUUAUCAAAUUAUCUAUAACUUUUUUCACAGAACUAGAAUAAAUAAUCCAAAAAUUUACAUGGAACCAUAAAAGACCCAGAAUUGCUAAAGCAAUUCUGAGGGAAAAAAGAAAAAAAAACAAGCAGGAAGCAUAACUCUCCCAGACUUCAUACAAUAUUACAAAGCUGCAGUAAUCAAGACCAUGUGGCACUGGUACAAAAACAGACAUGCAGAGCAAUGGAACAGAAUAGAGAGCCCAGAAAAAAACCCAGACACCUAUGGGCAAUUAACCUUUAACAAAGGAGGCAAGAAUAUAAAAUGGGAAAAAAGACAGUCUCUUCAGCAAGUGGUGCUGGGAAAACUGGACAGCCACAUUAAAUCAACGAAACUAGAAUACACCCUCACACCAUGAACAAAAAUAAACUCAAAAUGGCUUAAAGACUUAAACAUGACAAGACACCAUAAAACUUUUAGAAGAGAACAUAGGCAAGACAUUCUCUGACAUCAACUGUACAAAUGUUUUCAGUCUCCCAAGACAAUAGAAAUAAAAACAGAAAAAACAAAUGGGACCUAA
rnacentral:lncRNA from 1 species